AUGGUUCACGGCGGAGAGGAGGCGCUGAGGCGGCAGUACGCCAUCGGCGACGAGAUCGGGCGCGGCCGCUUCGGCACGGUGCGCCGCUGCCACUCCAACGCCACGGGGGAGGCGCUGGCCGUGAAGACCACGCCCAAGGCGCCGCUGCGGGACGCUCUCGACCUGGCCCUCGUGGAGCAGGAGCCCAAGCUGCACCUCCUCGCCUCCUCACCGCCCUGCAGCCCGCACGUGGUCGCGCUCCACGCCGCCUUCGACGACGCGGACGCCGUCCACCUCGUCGUCGACCUCUGCGCCGGCGGGGACCUCCUCUCCCUCCUCUCAGCCCGCGGCGGCCGCCUCCCCGAGCGCGAGGCCGCGCAGCUCGCCUCCGCGCUCGCCGCGUGCCACCGCCGCGGGGUCGCGCACCGCGACGUCAAGCCCGACAAUCUGCUCUUCGACGCCGCCACCGGCGCGCUCAAGCUCGCCGACUUCGGCUCCGCGGGGUGGUUCGGGGACGGGCGCCGGAUGACCGGGCUCGUCGGCACGCCGUACUACGUGGCGCCCGAGGUGGUGGCCGGCAGGGAGUACGGCAAGAAGGUGGACGUGUGGAGCGCCGGGGUGGUGCUCUACGUGAUGCUCUCCGGCACCGUGCCCUUCUACGGCGCCACCGCCCCGGAGAUCUUCGAGGCCGUGCUCCGCGGCAACCUCCGCUUCCCGCCGCGCGCCUUCGCCGGCGUCUCGCCCGAGGCCAAGGACCUGAUGCGCCGCAUGCUCUGCAAGGACGUCUCCCGCAGGCUCUCCGCCGAACAAGUCCUCAGGCAUCCGUGGUUCGCGAGCUGCGGUGGAAAUGCGGUGGCAGGCUGA
rnacentral:rRNA from 1 species